rnacentral:rRNA from 1 species
GAUGAACGCUGGCGGCGUGCCUAAUGCAUGCAAGUCGUACGGCCUGAUUUAUCAGGCAGUGGCAGACGGGUGAGUAACGCGUAAGAACUUACCCUAAAGUGGUGGAUAACCUCGAGAAAUUGGGGCUAAUACCGCAUACGCUCCGUAAGGAGGAAAGCUACGGCGCUUUAGGAUGGGCUUGCGCCCUAUCAGGUAGUUGGUGAGGUAAUGGCCCACCAAGUCCUUAGACGGGGUAGCUGGUCUGAGAGGAUGAUCAGCCACACUGGAACUGAGAUACGGUCCAGACUCCUACGGGUGGCUG